ACAUCCCGGAUAUAUAGCCCGGAUAAGUUUAACUUGCACGUGCACGGUAGACCAUUCUCACGUGCACAAAUGGCUAGUAGUUCGAAAUGUGAGGUGCUAUGCUGACAGAUCGUGGGAAUUGCGCUUUCUCUGCGAGCAGUUACCACACUCAGUAAGCAACAGUGGCUAGUGAAGGGAGAGCCCCAAUAUGGGAAAUGUUGGUUGCUACAAACCGUUUUCUUUGCAGAAAUCGACUUUCUCGAGAAACAAUUGACUCCAGAAAAGCUUUGCGUGAUGCAGUUAUUAUACAAGACGGCAGAAAUCAAGGAAUAUGAACAAUCCAGGACAUUUGUUGUUGUGAAUUCAGUUAAUAUGUAGUGAUUCUAGAUGAGUAACCUGGAUAACUUCCAUUAUUGCACCUGCCAGAAGACGAAUUACAUGUGUGGUUUAGGCAUAAGUCACCUAUGUUUUGAUUAGUUAACAUUUCUGGAUCUCGAUAAGUUCAUCUUUCGAGAUUCUCCAGAGUUACACAGAAAGUGCCUAUUCUUCAGGGAGCUGCCGUGACCAAUUUUCUGAAGAAAUGAGUGCAACUAAGUUUGUAUAGCUGCAUUGCAGUUUGACUCGUAGUGCUUUUAGCUAUUGUACUUUGUACAUUUGAUAGAUUAUUUGCAGGAUCUUUUGGGAGACCAGCCAUGCUGAAAGUGAUUUCUGAAUAGAUUUGCAUACAUGAUGAUGGUGGGUGUAUCUAUUUAUAUCUAUAAUGCUCACUUGAGCGAUCUGCCAUUCAUUGUGUCCCUGGCUGUUAGAUUGGGAGUCUUCUCAGAUAGGGCUCCAUAUAUGAGGGCUAGCUGUUACAGUAAUUCUGGUUUCAAAACUUGAUAAAUACCAAAGGGCGGUGUUUCUUUACUAUGAUGAGAUGGAGCAGUUGAUGAUGCAUAUUCACAGUAUCUUAUACCAUGCUCA